UCAAGUGAAGAAGCGCAUACGGUGGAUGCCUUGGCAGUCAGAGGCGAUGAAAGACGUGGUAGCCUGCGAUAAGCUUUGGGGAGUCGGCAAACAGACUGUGAUCCAGAGAUCUCUGAAUGGGGGAACCCACUCAGCAUAAGCUGAGUAUCUUGUACUGAAUACAUAGGUGCAAGAGGCGAACCAGGGGAACUGAAACAUCUAAGUACCCUGAGGAAAAGAAAUCAACCGAGAUUCCCUUAGUAGUGGCGAGCGAACGGGGACCAGCCCUUAAGUUGAUUUGAGAUUAGUGGAACGCUCUGGAAAGUGCGGCCAUAGUGGGUGAUAGCCCCGUACACGAAAAUCUCUUGUCAAUGAAAUCGAGUAGGACGGAGCACGAGAAACUUUGUCUGAACAUGGGGGGACCAUCCUCCAAGGCUAAAUACUACUGACUGACCGAUAGUGAACCAGUACCGUGAGGGAAAGGCGAAAAGAACCCCGGAGAGGGGAGUGAAAUAGAACCUGAAACCGUAUGCGUACAAGCAGUGGGAGCCUACUUGUUAGGUGACUGCGUACCUUUUGUAUAAUGGGUCAGCGACUUAUAUUCAGUGGCGAGCUUAACCGAAUAGGGGAGGCGUAGCGAAAGCGAGUCUUAAUAGGGCGUUUAGUCGCUGGGUAUAGACCCGAAACCGGGCGAUCUAUCCAUGGGCAGGUUGAAGGUUAGGUAACACUGACUGGAGGACCGAACCGACUACCGUUGAAAAGUUAGCGGAUGACCUGUGGAUCGGAGUGAAAGGCUAAUCAAGCUCGGAGAUAGCUGGUUCUCCUCGAAAGCUAUUUAGGUAGCGCCUCAUGUAUCACUGUAGGGGGUAGAGCACUGUUUCGGCUAGGGGGUCAUCCCGACUUACCAAACCGAUGCAAACUCCGAAUACCUACAAGUGCCGAGCAUGGGAGACACACGGCGGGUGCUAACGUCCGUCGUGAAAAGGGAAACAACCCAGACCGUCAGCUAAGGUCCCAAAGUCAUGGUUAAGUGGGAAACGAUGUGGGAAGGCUUAGACAGCUAGGAGGUUGGCUUAGAAGCAGCCAUCCUUUAAAGAAAGCGUAAUAGCUCACUAGUCGAGUCGGCCUGCGCGGAAGAUGUAACGGGGCUCAAACCAUGCACCGAAGCUACGGGUAUCACCUUUUGGUGAUGCGGUAGAGGAGCGUUCUGUAAGCCUGUGAAGGUGAGUUGAGAAGCUUGCUGGAGGUAUCAGAAGUGCGAAUGCUGACAUGAGUAACGACAAUGCGAGUGAAAAACUCGCACGCCGAAAGACCAAGGUUUCCUGCGCAACGUUAAUCGACGCAGGGUUAGUCGGUCCCUAAGGCGAGGCUGAAAAGCGUAGUCGAUGGAAAACAGGUUAAUAUUCCUGUACUUCCAGUUAUUGCGAUGGAGGGACGGAGAAGGCUAGGCCAGCUUGGCGUUGGUUGUCCAAGUUUAAGGUGGUAGGCUGAGAUCUUAGGCAAAUCCGGGAUUUCAAGGCCGAGAGCUGAUGACGAGUUGCCAUUAGGCGACGAAGUGGUUGAUGCCAUGCUUCCAAGAAAAGCUCCUAAGCUUCAGAUAACUGGGAACCGUACCCCAAACCGACACAGGUGGUUAGGUAGAGAAUACCAAGGCGCUUGAGAGAACUCGGGUGAAGGAACUAGGCAAAAUGGCACCGUAACUUCGGGAGAAGGUGCGCCGGCGAGGGUGAAGGACUUGCUCCGUAAGCCCAUGCCGGUCGAAGAUACCAGGCCGCUGCGACUGUUUAUUAAAAACACAGCACUCUGCAAACACGAAAGUGGACGUAUAGGGUGUGACGCCUGCCCGGUGCCGGAAGGUUAAUUGAUGGGGUUAGCGCAAGCGAAGCUCUUGAUCGAAGCCCCGGUAAACGGCGGCCGUAACUAUAACGGUCCUAAGGUAGCGAAAUUCCUUGUCGGGUAAGUUCCGACCUGCACGAAUGGCGUAACGAUGGCGGCGCUGUCUCCACCCGAGACUCAGUGAAAUUGAAAUCGCUGUGAAGAUGCAGUGUAUCCGCGGCUAGACGGAAAGACCCCGUGAACCUUUACUAUAGCUUUGCACUGGACUUUGAAUUUGCUUGUGUAGGAUAGGUGGGAGGCUUUGAAGUGGGGACGCCAGUUCUCAUGGAGCCAUCCUUGAAAUACCACCCUGGCAACUUUGAGGUUCUAACUCAGGUCCGUUAUCCGGAUCGAGGACAGUGUAUGGUGGGUAGUUUGACUGGGGCGGUCUCCUCCCAAAGAGUAACGGAGGAGUACGAAGGUGCGCUCAGACCGGUCGGAAAUCGGUCGUAGAGUAUAAAGGCAAAAGCGCGCUUGACUGCGAGACAAACACGUCGAGCAGGUACGAAAGUAGGUCUUAGUGAUCCGGUGGUUCUGUAUGGAAGGGCCAUCGCUCAACGGAUAAAAGGUACUCCGGGGAUAACAGGCUGAUACCGCCCAAGAGUUCAUAUCGACGGCGGUGUUUGGCACCUCGAUGUCGGCUCAUCACAUCCUGGGGCUGAAGCCGGUCCCAAGGGUAUGGCUGUUCGCCAUUUAAAGUGGUACGCGAGCUGGGUUUAGAACGUCGUGAGACAGUUCGGUCCCUAUCUGCCGUGGACGUUUGAGAUUUGAGAGGGGCUGCUCCUAGUACGAGAGGACCGGAGUGGACGAACCUCUGGUGUUCCGGUUGUCACGCCAGUGGCAUUGCCGGGUAGCUAUGUUCGGAAGAGAUAACCGCUGAAAGCAUCUAAGCGGGAAACUUGCCUCAAGAUGAGAUCUCACUGGAACCUUGAGUUCCCUAAAGGGCCGUCGAAGACUACGACGUUGAUAGGUUGGGUGUGUAAGCGCUGUGAGGCGUUGAGCUAACCAAUACUAAUUGCCCGUGAGGCUUGACCAU
rnacentral:rRNA from 2 species